AUCGAACGCUGGCGGCAGGCCUAACACAUGCAAGUCGAACGAGCGGCGGACGGGUGCGUAAUGUAUGGGGAUCUGCCCGAUAGAGGGGGAUAACUACUGGAAACGGUAGCUAAUACCGCAUACGAUCGGAUGAACCCAUAUGGGAUUAGCUAGUAGGUGAGGUAAUGGCUCACCUAGGCGACGCUCACUAGCUGGUCUGAGAGGAUGAUCAGCCACACUGGGACUGAGACACGGCCCAGACGCCUACGGGAGGCAGCAGUGGGGAAUAUUGCACAAUGGGCGCAAGCCUGAUGCAGCCAUGCCGCGUGUAUGAAGAAGGCCUUCGGGUUGUAAAGUACUUUCAGCGGGGAGGCGUUACCCGCAGAAGAAGCACCGGCUAACUCCGUGCCAGCAGCCGCGGUAAUUC
rnacentral:rRNA from 1 species